rnacentral:tRNA from 2 species
GGAGCGGUGGCCGAGUGGCUGAAGGCGACGGUUUGCUAAACCGUUUUAGGGGGUAAACCCCUAACGAGGGUUCGAAUCCCUCUCGCUCCG